rnacentral:rRNA from 1 species
AGCAGCCGCGGUAAUUCCAGCUCCAAUAGCGUAUAUUAAAGUUGUUGCAGUUAAAAAGCUCGUAGUUGAAUUUCGGGAUCAAAGGAUCGGUCAUGCCUUGGUAUGUACUGGUUUUAUUGGUUCUCACCUUCUAAAGAACCAUAAUGUCAUUCAUUUGAUGUUAUGGGGAAUUAGGACUGUUACCUUGAAAAAAUUAGAGUGUUUAAAGCAGGCUUACGCUUGAAUACAUUAGCAUGGAAUAAUGAGAUAGGACAUCAGAUUCUAUUUUGUUGGUUUCUAGGAUCGAUGUAAUGAUUAAUAGGGAUAGUUGGGGGCAUUAGUAUUCAAUUGUCAGAGGUGAAAUUCUUGGAUUUAUUGAAGACUAACUACUGCGAAAGCAUUUGCCAAGGAUGUUUUCAUUAAUCAAGAACGAAAGUUAGGGAUCGAAGACGAUCAGAUACCGUCGUAGUC